rnacentral:rRNA from 1 species
UACGGAGGGUGCAAGCGUUAUCCGGAUUCACUGGGUUUAAAGGGCGCGUAGGCGGUCAGCACAAGUCAGUUGUGAAAUCUCCGAGCUUAACUCGGAAAGGUCAACUGAUACUGUGCGACUAGAGUGCAGAAGGGCAACUGGAAUUCUCGGUGUAGCGGUGAAAUGCGUAGAUAUCUGGAGGAACACCUGCGGCGAAGGCGGCAUCUCGGAGCCGGCAUUCGACGCUGAGGCGCGAAAGCCAGGGAGCAA